rnacentral:rRNA from 1 species
UACGUAGGGUGCAGGCGUUAAUCGGAAUUACUGGGCGUAAAGCGUGCGCAGGCGGUUUGUUAAGACAGGUGUGAAAUCCCCGGGCUUAACCUGGGAACUGCGCUUGUUACUGGCAAGCUGGAGUGUGGCAGAGGGGGGUGGAAUUCCACGUGUAGCAGUGAAAUGCGUAGAUAUGCGGAGGAACACCGAUGGCGAAGGCAAUCCCCUGGGCCUGUACUGACGCUCAUGCACGAAAGCGUGGGGAGCAAACAGG